AUGAGAUCCUGGUUCACUGGUGGCUCAUGAAAUAAAUGUUUUUAGUGGUUGUUUCCAGUGAAGUCCCCCAACCCGUUGUGCCUGCAAAAGGCAGGAACAGAUACAUUUAUUUGUAACCUUUCAGACUUUGAGACUCAUUUUUCCAUUGAUUACUUUAAAAAACAGGGGCUAUUUAUACACAUUACGGUCUAUAACUGUCAGCCCUGUGACAAAUCACCCACCCAGUGCCUCGUCAAUGAUGUGGAAAAUAGUGGCCAUAUAAACAGAUCAAAUGAAGUGGAAGUUAGAGAGCACAAUGGCAUCAGGCUGUAGCCUUUGACCUUUAAAGGCUAGAGGUCAAAUCUGUCUGCACUGAGGAGUUAAAACAACUUGGGGAAUUCAUCCUGGUGGCCAUGGAGUGAUGAACCAGCAUCUUUCCUUGGGAUAGGAGCAGAGUUGGUAGAGGUAAACCUGAGGUGCAUGUGAAGUUCUGGACUGUGCAAAAUUCUAAUGGAAGCUCUAAUUAGAGAAGCCUCCAGUGGUGUCACCAGAGCACCUGACCAGGAGGAAGCCACAGGUGUCCAGAGGCCACUUAUCUGAUUUUAGAUGCCAAUUUUGGGAUGACAUGAACCACCUGUUAGAGACACCUACUACUUUUCAUCAACUAUAGGGAGACAGGAGAGGCUGAACUGCUUGGGCCAAUGCCCAGGGUCAUGAGCAGAACCAAAGUGGGUGGUAUCUGGAUGAAAGGAAGAACAAGAGUGCCCUGGAUGAGGGGAAG